CGCCUCUUGCAAAACCAAUGAAUAAGAGGUCCCGCCUGCCCAGUGACCAUGGGUUCAACGGCCGCGGUAUUUUGACCGUGCAAAGGUAGCGUAAUCACUUGUCUUUUAAAUGAAGACCGGUAUGAAUGGCAUAACGAGGGCUCAACUGUCUCCUCUCUCUAGUCAGUGAAAUUGAUCUUUCCGUGCAGAAGCGGGGAUAUCAACAUAAGACGAGAAGACCCUAUGGAGCUUUAGAUAAUGAGACAGAUCCCGUCAAACAUCCUUAUUAAAAAGACCAAACUAAUCGAACACUGUCUGAAUGUCUUUGGUUGGGGUGACCACGGCGAAAUAAAAAACCCCCGCGUGGAAAGAGGCGACUAACCCUCCAAACCAAGAGCUCCCGCUCUAAUAAGCAGAACAUCUGACCUACAAGAUCCGGCAAACGCCGAUCAACGGACCGAGUUACCCUAGGGAUAACAGCGCAAUCCCCUCCUAGAGUUCAUAUCGACAAGGGGGUUUACGACCUCGAUGUUGGAUCAGGACAUCCUAAUGGUGCAGCCGCUAUUAAGGGUUCGUUUGUUCAACGAUUAAAGUCCU
rnacentral:rRNA from 1 species